UGGGGAAUUUUGGACAAUGGGCGAAAGCCUGAUCCAGCAAUGCCGCGUGUGUGAAGAAGGCCUUCGGGUUGUAAAGCACUUUUGUCCGGAAAGAAAUCCUUGGCUCUAAUACAGUCGGGGGAUGACGGUACCGGAAGAAUAAGCACCGGCUAACUACGUGCCAGCAGCCGCGGUAAUACGUAGGGUGCAAGCGUUAAUCGGAAUUACUGGGCGUAAAGCGUGCGCAGGCGGUUUGCUGAGACCGAUGUGAAAUCCCCGGGCUCAACCUGGGAACUGCAUUGGUGACUGGCAGGCUAGAGUAUGGCAGAGGGGGGUAGAAUUCCACGUGUAGCAGUGAAAUGCGUAGAGAUGUGGAGGAAUACCGAUGGCGAAGGCAGCCCCCUGGGCCAAUACUGACGCUCAUGCACGAAAGCGUGGGGAGCAAACAGGAUUAGAUACCCUGGUAGUCCACGCCCUAAACGAUGUCAACUAGUUGUUGGGGAUUCAUUUCCUUAGUAACGUAGCUAACGCGUGAAGUUGACCGCCUGGGGAGUACGGUCGCAAGAUUAAAACUCAAAUGAAUUGACGGGGUCAUAGCUGUUUCC
rnacentral:rRNA from 1 species